rnacentral:rRNA from 1 species
UACAGAGGAGCCAAGCGUUGUCCGGAUUGACUCGGCGUAAAGCGCACGCAGGCGGUUCUGUGCGUGGGGUGUGAAAUCUGGCCGCUUAACGGCCAGGCGCCAUCCCAUACGGCAGGACUGGAGUGAUGCAGAGGUCGAUGGAAUUGCCGGUGUAGUGGUGAAAUGCGUAGAGAUCGGCAGGAACACCCAGGGGGAAACCAGUCGACUGGGCAUCUACUGACGCUGAGGUGCGAGAGCGUGGGGAGCGAACAGG